rnacentral:rRNA from 1 species
CUUUCUUUGCUGGCGACCGGCGCACGGGUGAGUAACACGUAUCCAACCUGCCCUUUACUCGGGGAUAGCCUUUCGAAAGAAAGAUUAAUACCCGAUAGUAUAAUGAUUCUGCAUGGUUUGAUUAUUAAAGGAUUCCGGUAAAGGAUGGGGAUGCGUUCCAUUAGGUUGUUGGUGAGGUAACGGCUCACCAAGCCUUCGAUGGAUAGGGGUUCUGAGAGGAAGGUCCCCCACAUUGGAACUGAGACACGGUCCAA